rnacentral:snoRNA from 2 species
GGGUCAAGUGAUGAGUAACAAAACUGCAACAAUAUGAUGGGAGUAAUAAUACUCCUAUGAUUCUUAAGUAUUUUAAGUCUCUGAUGAUC